rfam:Trichinella spiralis unplaced genomic scaffold Scfld9, whole genome shotgun sequence.
UCUCUGGCCCCAUACUUCUUUGCAUCGCCAUACAGAUCUGAAGAUAUGGAAUGUAAAGAAGUAUGUAGCCUGUAG